CUGCCAGGUGAGAGGCUCAGCUGCGUCUCUCGGGGGCCUUAAAGCUUCUUUUUUUGGAAAGUGGCUUUUAUGGUCGGGCCACGGUAUAAUUUGCCCUGCCCAGUGAGGGCAGCUGCUGAGGAAUGCAGGGGAGGAAGAACCUGAGACAGCGCCACGUUCCUGGUAAUAUAGUCCCAUGAUCCCACACAAAGAAGAUUCCUGGCCGGGCACAAUGGCUCACACCUCUAAUGCCAGCACUUUGGGAGGCCGAGGAGGGAAGAUCACUUGAGCUCAAGAGUUCGAGACCAGCGUGGGCAACAUAG
rnacentral:lncRNA from 1 species